AAAAACUUAGUUAAAAAAUAACAUUAGUAUGUCAAACUAAAAUUAAUUAUUAAUUAGUUUUUU
rnacentral:tRNA from 1 species